GGGUUUAUGAGUAGUUGCAGCCAUAUGUGCAGCAGCAGUUCAGCCAGCACAGCUGAUAGCAGCUGUGGAAACUGUCUCGGUAUGUCUGUAGAUACAAUGUAUCUGUCUGUCAUCUCCUGCUUGCUACAGUGGACCUUCCUAUUUAGAGAAUGUCCCUGUCAGCUCUUCUGUCCUAUAUCUGAGCUGCUGCUCCUGUCCCUUAUGAUAAGGGGCUGAUUUCAAUUCAGCAGCAGUUCCAACCCCACAGCCAGCCAUUUUAGUCAUUCUGAUGUUUUCAAUGUUGUGUUUAUUUUAAGUAUUGGUUUUAAUAAAUUGUUAGUAUUCUGUUUACAUUGAGUAAAAUGUUUAAUACUGA
rnacentral:lncRNA from 1 species